GCGGCCGUGGCGGCUGCCUCAGGGCGGCGCUGCGUGGCGCAGCUCCCGUGCGGCUGCUGAAGCGGCUAAAUGGCCUGCUGCCCAGGUCUCUGCCUGAGGAAAUUGCUCUGCCGCCCCGCGGACGACCUUGUCGGUGGCGUCACUCGUUGGUGCUUGUGGCUUUUCUUUUGCCAAGGAGUAUAAACCUACACUGACAUAGCAAAUGAUGUAUUCAUUUACAAACCCUUUUGGAAGGAAAGCAUAUAACAUGAUUUCUGGAAUGCAGUUUUUAUCCCAGAUGGGAUUGGAGAUCCUGAUGCUGGCUGAGUUUCUGCAGGGACAGCAGAGAAGAUGCGGGAGACAGGAGACAUUGUCCAGAUGCAGCACAAGCUACUGCAGAUCCACUGAUUGUUGGUAACUGCUCUUGUGUAGAUUCUUUCCUUGUGGCUCCUGUAAGAUCCUACAGAUAGAAGACUUUGUUGAUCAGCUGACCCACAGCAUCUUGACUCUGUGCAAAAAAGCGACACUCAGCUCCCACUCACUUUUUUCUGUCCAUAUCAUUAUCAAGAUGAAUUUCCAGACAAAAAUGCUAAUUUUUUCUUUGGGAAAAUAAAUUUUCUUGUGUAUUCA
rnacentral:lncRNA from 1 species